UUUCAAUUGGUCUUUACUGUUUAUUCAUGUCUGGUUUGUCUUUGUAUUGUUAUCAUUACUUAAGUUUCUUUUUCCCUCUCUGAUAAAAGGAUUAAGCCCUCAGAAGGAGGUUACACACUAAGAAGAACUUCACAUAAAGUGGAAGAUAUAUCCAACCAAACAGAUGAACAAAUCUCAAGAUAGGAACACAGUAUGCAAAAGCAUGAUCAAGUUUGGUGAGACAUGGACAUUUAACAUCAGUUAGAAUGCCAACGUGGCACCUGCUUCUCAUCGGACAGGACGGGCACUGACUGUGCACUGGAAAUUGAGGGUUUUUAUGGGAACAUCUUCAACUUGAAGAGAGAUAAACAACUGCGGUCACUCAAUUCUUAACGUAGUCACUGGAAUAAAAAUGAGGGCAACUGAAAUGAAUACAAACCUCCACACAGACACUCUAAAGGACUCAAGGUUAUCCACAGCGAAUCCUGAGGAAACAAGAAAACUGAAAGGCAGAGACAAAAAUCUAGCAGGGGAGGCAGAAUCACAUUACAGUAUCAAAUCAUAGAACCAGCUAUCAUCAACCCCGUAUCUCACUGGCCCACCUGAGCUCACCUGUGAUGUGGAAGACCAUUUCCAGCGUGCAGACCAUUCUCCACUGCAAGUAUCUCUUGGCAUCUGGUACCACAAAUGGGGGCCAGUGCACUGCAAAU
rnacentral:lncRNA from 1 species